GGAGCUUGCUCUUCAAAUCGAGUGGCGAACGGGUGAGUAACGCGUGAGGAACCUGCCUCAAAGAGGGGGACAACAGUUGGAAACGACUGCUAAUACCGCAUAAGCCCACGGCUCGGCAUCGAGCAGAGGGAAAAGGAGCAAUCCACUUUGAGAUGGCCUCGCGUCCGAUUAGCUAGUUGGUGAGGUAAUGGCCCACCAAGGCGACGAUCGGUAGCCGGACUGAGAGGUUGAACGGCCACAUUGGGACUGAGACACGGCCCAGACUCCUACGGGAGGCAGCAGUGGGGAAUAUUGCACAAUGGGGGAAACCCUGAUGCAGCGACGCCGCGUGGAGGAAGAAGGUCUUCGGAUUGUAAACUCCUGUUGUUGAGGAAGAUAAUGACGGUACUCCAACAAGGAAGUGACGGCUAACUACGUGCCAGCAGCCGCGGUAAAACGUAGGCCACAAGCGUUGUCCGGAAUUACUGGGGUGUANAAGGGGGAGCGCAGGCGGGAGAACAAGUUGGAAGUGAAAUCCAUGGGCUCAACCCAUGAACUGCUUUCAAAACUGUUUUCUUGAGUAGUGCA
rnacentral:rRNA from 1 species